rnacentral:misc_RNA from 1 species
AACGCACAUUGCGCCCGCCAGUAUUCUGGCGGGCAUGCCUGUUCGAGCGUCAUUUCAACCCUCAAACCCCCGGGUUUGGUGUUGGGGAUCGGGCUGUACUCCAGCCCGGCCCCGAAAUCUAGUGGCGGUCUCGCUGCAGCCUCCAUUGCGUAGUAGCUAACACCUCGCAACUGGAACGCGGCGCGGCCAAGCCGUUAAACCCCCAACUUCUGAAUGUUGACCUCGGAUCAGGUAGGAAUACCCGCUGAACUUAA